AACACGUAUCCAACCUGCCGAUGACUCGGGGAUAGCCUUUCGAAAGAAAGAUUAAUACCCGAUGGCAUAGUUCUUCCGCAUGGUGGAACUAUUAAAGAAUUUCGGUCAUCGAUGGGGAUGCGUUCCAUUAGGUUGUUGGCGGGGUAACGGCCCACCAAGCCUUCGAUGGAUAGGGGUUCUGAGAGGAAGGUCCCCCACAUUGGAACUGAGACACGGUCCAAACUCCUACGGGAGGCAGCAUG
rnacentral:rRNA from 1 species